rnacentral:rRNA from 1 species
GCUAAUACCGGAUAAUAUUUUGAACCGCAUGGUUCAAAAGUGAAAGACGGUCUUGCUGUCACUUAUAGAUGGAUCCGCGCUGCAUUAGCUAGUUGGUAAGGUAACGGCUUACCAAGGCAACGAUGCAUAGCCGACCUGAGAGGGUGAUCGGCCACACUGGAACUGAGACACGGUCCAGACUCCUACGGAAGCAGCAGUAGGGAAUCUUCCGCAAUGGGCGAAAGCCUGACGGAGCAACGCCGCGUGAGUGAUGAAGGUCUUCGGAUCGUAAAACUCUGUUAUUAGGGAAGAACAUAUGUGUAAGUAACUGUGCACAUCUUGACGGUACCUAAUCAGAAAGCCACGGCUAACUACGUGCCAGCAGCCGCGGUAAUACGUAGGUGGCAAGCGUUAUCCGGAAUUAUUGGGCGUAAAGCGCGCGUAGGCGGUUUUUUAAGUCUGAUGUGAAAGCCCACGGCUCAACCGUGGAGGGUCAUUGGAAACUGGAAAACUUGAGUGCAGAAGAGGAAAGUGGAAUUCCAUGUGUAGCGGUGAAAUGCGCAGAGAUAUGGAGGAACACCAGUGGCGAAGGCGACUUUCUGGUCUGUAACUGACGCUGAUGUGCGAAAGCGUGGGGAUCAAACAGGAUUAGAUACCCUGGUAGUCCACGCCGUAAACGAUGAGUGCUAAGUGUUAGGGGGUUUCCGCCCCUUAGUGCUGCAGCUAACGCAUUAAGCACUCCGCCUGGGGAGUACGACCGCAAGGUUGAAACUCAAAGGAAUUGACGGGGACCCGCACAAGCGGUGGAGCAUGUGGUUUAAUUCGAAGCAACGCGAAGAACCUUACCAAAUCUUGACAUCCUUUGACAACUCUAGAGAUAGAGCCUUCCCCUUCGGGGGACAAAGUGACAGGUGGUGCAUGGUUGUCGUCAGCUCGUGUCGUGAGAUGUUGGGUUAAGUCCCGCAACGAGCGCAACCCUUAAGCUUAGUUGCCAUCAUUAAGUUGGGCACUCUAAGUUGACUGCCGGUGACAAACCGGAGGAAGGUGGGAAUGACGUCAAAUCAUCAUGCCCCUUAUGAUUUGGGCUACACACGUGCUACAAUGGACAAUACAAAGGGCAGCGAAACCGCGAGGUCAAGCAAAUCCCAUAAAGUUGUUCUCAGUUCGGAUUGUAGUCUGCAACUCGACUACAUGAAGCUGGAAUCGCUAGUAAUCGUAGAUCAGCAUGCUACGGUGAAUACGUUCCCGGGUCUUGUACACACCGCCCGUCACACCACGAGAGUUUGUAACACCC